rnacentral:lncRNA from 1 species
AAGCGAUUGUGUGAUAACUUUUUCUUCUUCUCAAUCUUUCAAGAUAUUAUGUGAAUUAAUAUAUUAUUGAAUCUGAUGAGUUAAACUUAAAUUAAAGUAAAAAGAAAAAGUUUUCUAGUUUGAUAAGGUAACUGUUCGCUUUAAAAUCGAAAAUGGAUUCGAUACAAUUCAACAGAAUCUAAGAAAUGAUCAAAAUAGAAAUGAUUUUAGAAUUUGAUUCUAUAAAAAUUCAAGUUUCAUUUUUGAAUGAAGUUAGACGAUACAGCUCUUAUUAGUUUAAUAGUUUACCCAAGAGUUACUAAAAUGAUUUUAGAAUUCGAUUCUAUAAAAAUUCUAGUUUCAUUUUUGAAUGAAGUUAGACAAUGCAGCUCUUAUUAGUUUAAUAGUUUACCCAAGAGUUACUCAAUGAAUCGAUUGAUUGGAAUUGCGGGAUGGAUAGAUGUUACAGAUGAUGAAUUAAUUUCUUUUAUAUGUCUGUCACUUUAUCUUUGUUAGUGUUUUCUACCUAUAAUGAUAGAUGAAUCAAAAACUUUUCAUUCUACUUCUUCUUUCAAUUUAAAUUGAGAUUUUUGCCUAUCCUCCUAUUUUGAAAAAAUGGAAACUUAGGUAAGUGUUUUCUAAACAUAUGUAUAAAAAGAACAUCUUUCAUUUAAUUUAGCCCUUUCAUGCUUACUAUAACUAGUUAUUUCGCUUUUCUAUUAGCGGCUUUAACUAGAACCUCAGCUCUAUUUAUUGGUCUGAGCAAGAUACUUAUUAUUUAAACUGAAUAUUUAAAAUGAACAAUUCAUAAACCUCAGCUCUAUUUAUUGGUCUGAGCAAGAUACUUAUUAUUUAAAUGGAAUAUUUAAAAUGAACAAUUCAUAAAAUGAAAUCUUUCUGUGGGAUUACAUGUAUUCUAUAUUUACUUACGUUACCAAUUGUCAAAUCUUGGUCAUUGUCAUUGAGAUUCAUGUCAACUCGGAUUAAUAUUUAGGUAUAGAUAUUACCUCUUUUUUUUUCUACUUUCAAACAAAGAAAAAUGAUUGAAGUUUUUCUAUUUGGAAUCAUGUUAGGUCUAAUUCCUAUUACUUUGGCUGGAUUAUUCCUAACCGCAUAUUUACAAUACAGGCGUGGUGAUCAGUUGGACCUUUGAUUAAUUAACAUCUCUUUUUUUUGAUUGACCUCAUCCUUUCUUUAAUUCACAGGCACAGGAGGUCAAAUUCCGAUUUUUGUGAAAGUUAAUGAAUGAAUCUAUUUCAUUCUAAUUCGAUCUAAGAAGAAAAAAAU